rnacentral:lncRNA from 1 species
GCCCGGGGGAGCGGGGCAGGGCGCCGCGGGGCGCGGGAAUCCCGCGGCGCGGUGGGCCGGCGGGGCGGGGCCGGGGGCGGAGCCGGCGGCGGGGACGCGGAAGUCGGCGGCGGCAGCGCAGGUGGACGGCGGCGGGGGUGAGCUGAGGUGAGGUUGAGGGGGAGCGGAGGGGCCCGGCCGCCCCGUCGCCUCUGCGAGCGGGGACGGGGCUGGGCCUGGCCUGGCCUGUCCGCGGCGGGAAGGCGGGCCGCCGCCAUGGCCGGCCGCGGCCUGCCCGCCCGCCCCGCUGACCCGCUCCUUCCCUCCCUCCCCGCAGGGCGAUGCGGCUGCCCGGGCUGUUCGGGCGGCUGAAGGCGGCGGUCGUCGGGGUGGUUCAUGUGGGAGCGCUGCCAGGGACACCAAGAAGUUGUCUUCCUUUGACCCAGAUCAUUGAUCAAGCUUGUCAAGAGGCAGCAGCUUACAUGGAUGCUGGAGUUGUAAGUUUUGGUUUCCUUCUUCCUAUGGCAACAUUUACACAAAGCUGCUUCUGCAUAGCCAAUAUUUUAGAUUGAGUCUGUAAUUCUUCAAAAGC